rfam:Fusarium oxysporum f. sp. cubense race 4 unplaced genomic scaffold scaffold175, whole genome shotgun sequence.
AUUCGGCAUGAUAACUAGGGCGACGGUCGAUACUGCACCACGACCCAGCCCCUAUAAGUUGCCGAUAGAUUCAAACUCGGAGAUCUUACACGUUUUUCGGAUUCUUUAUACCCAUGAUGUCUAACGUUUAGUCUCUCGAAACAUUA